UUUUUAUUUAAUUAACUUCAUUGGAUUGCCAUGUCAGGCAGGACAGGGAGCGGUGGAUGGGAGCACCGAAGGCUGAACUGCAAGGCAGUCCGUCGUCAGCACCUUGACAAUGACUUAUUGUCGCCAGCCAGCAAGGAGAAGACGGAUAUGGAGGAGCAGGAGGGAACCAGGAGGUAGUCAGGAGGUAGCCAGGACUCGCUGCAUGCGGAGACAGAGCUCAUCUCCAGUUCAUUGGCAAUUCUUUGGCUAAAGUGGCCUUUCUUGUCUGGGCGUGGGCACAGCUCCUCGUGGCGUCGAAACAUCUACACAGAAAGAAAAUUCUUUUCCCCGAAAUCAAUCCUAU
rnacentral:lncRNA from 1 species